rnacentral:rRNA from 1 species
GACGGGGGAUGCAAGUGUUAUCCGGAAUCACUGGGCGUAAAGCGUCUGCAGGUGGUUUCCCAAGUCCACUGUUAAACCUUGAGGCUCAACCUCAAAUCUGCAUUGGAAACUAGGAGACUUGAGUAUAGUAGGGGUAGAGGGAAUUUCCAGUGGAGCGGUGAAAUGCGUAGAUAUUGGAAAGAACACCGAUGGCGAAGGCACUCUACUGGGCUAUUACUGACACUCAGAGACGAAAGCUAGGGGAGCAAAUGGG